UACGUAGGGUGCAAGCGUUGUCCCGGAAUUAUUGGGCGUAAAGAGCGUGUAGGCGGCCCGAUCAGUCCGCUGUGAAAGUCCAGGGCUCAACCCUGGGAUGCCGGUGGAUACUGUCGGGCUAGAGUCCGGAAGGGGCGAGUGGAAUUCCUGGUGAGUAAGCGGUGAAAGUGCGCAGAUAUCAGGAGGAACACCAAUGGCGAAGGCAGCUCGCUGGGACGUGACUGACGCUGAGACGCGAAAGCGUGGGGAGCAAACAGG
rnacentral:rRNA from 1 species